rnacentral:rRNA from 1 species
GUGCCAGCCGCCGCGGUAAUACGUAGAGUGCAAGCGUUGUCCGGAAUCAUUGGGCGUAAAGGGUACGCAGGCGGAUAUACAAGUCAAAUGUGAAAGGUGUAGGCUUAACCUACAGACUGCGUUUGAAACUGUAUAUCUUGAGAGCAGCAGAGGAAGGCGGAAUUCCUGGUGUAGUGGUGAAAUACGUAGAUAUCAGGAAGAACACCAGUGGCGAAGGCGGUCUUCUGGGCUGCAUCUGACGCUCAUGUACGAAAGCUGGGGUAGCGAACGGGAUUAGAUACCCGGGUAGUCC